rnacentral:misc_RNA from 2 species
AACGCACAUUGCGCCCCUUGGUAUUCCAUGGGGCAUGCCUGUUCGAGCGUCAUUUGUACCCUCAAGCUAUGCUUGGUGUUGGGUGAUUGUCCGGCCUUUAUAGCCAGGACUCGCCUUAAAGUAAUUGGCAGCCAGUGUUUUGGUAUAAAGCGCAGCACAUUUUGCGAUUUACUCCAAUAAUAUUAGCAACCAUAAAGCUCAUCUAUCACUUUUGACCUCGGAUCAGGUAGGGAUACCCGCUGAACUUAA